rnacentral:tRNA from 1 species
GGAGGUGCGGCAAAGUUGGAGAGUUGCGGUGCUCUGUAAAAGCAUUGCUUCGGCUGAGUAGGUUCGAAUCCUACCACCUCCACCA